rnacentral:sRNA from 1 species
CGAUGUUGGGAUAUUGGCAGGCUAGGGCAGCAAAUUGUCGUGAAAGGUGGAUGAACCAGCAUCUUUUGAUUCCUUGUUACCUUUACUGUCAAAAUUUAACACGAAUGCUCAACUCUUCAAGAAGAUCGUUGGAUUUUAAAAUUGGACACCGCUAAUUUUCGUCCCCUGUUCUCUCACUACAUCCAUUUAACUUGGGCCCAAGGGGUCACAAAUCCAACGGCAUCUUUGGCACGGUGAGCAUAUCUCAGGAAUUUCAGUUCCGAAACCUAGUCAAGUUCCAAAAAUACUGUUUCUAAAAACUUUGUUGAGUCGCCUGGAAGCUGUAAAUCACAACACCAACAACAAACAAUCCCUUGCCUCCAAAAUUCAGUGCCCCCCAUUGAGAGCACAGGCUUCAAUGGAUAAAAAGCGGAGGUAGAUGGAUGCGGGGAAAUGUUCAAAGAACCUGAACAAUGACUAUUUCUGAGGG